UAUUCCCUCAUGGCGGUUAAUUAUUCAUCAACCCAUCCAAUUCCUUCUUUCAAAAGCUCCGCUUCCGCUACCUCAGUUCGCCGCAUUUUUAGAGUUAAUGCCACCGCUAUCGUUGAGUCCCCGUCGUAUUCCGCCACCGGCGGCGGAGAUGACACGCGGAAGCUGCUGCUCCAAGUGAAGGACCUGUCUGCUGUGAUAGCUGAAUCGAGACAGCCCAUUCUCAAAGGCGUUAACCUCACUGUCUAUGAAGGCGAGGUACAUGCUGUAAUGGGAAAGAAUGGUUCUGGAAAGAGCACUUUUGCCAAGGUUCUUGGAGCAGACUUAGCAAUACUUGAUGAAAUUGAUUCCGGUUUAGAUGUUGAUGCACUUCGAGACGUGGCAAAGGCAGUAAAUUGCCUGCUGUCCUUUAAGAAUUCUGUGUUGAUGAUCACACAUUACUUGAGAUUGCUAGAGUUUAUCAAGCCAACCUAUAUUCAUAUCAUGGAGGAUGGGAGAAUUGUGAAGACUGGAGAUAUUUCGAUAGCUGAAGUUCUGGAGAAAGAAGGGUACAAGGCAAUUUCUGGCACAUAGGAUAUAUAGUGAAGAGAGGCCCUCCAUACAACUUGUUUUGCGUUUCUCAUAAGCUCUGAAUCAAAACUAUUGGAACUUUGUCAUUUGAAGAAGUUGCACUUCGCCCACAGAAGGAAAUAUGCAGAUUGCAACGAGUAGCAAAGCUUUGAUACAUACGUUACUUAAAGUACCUGUAUAUCUUAUCAAAGAUUUGAAUGUGCUCUCUUCAUUUACUGUAGCAAUGCUUGGAGUCUUUAGGACCAUGUUGGUCAAGCGCAGACUUUUUGUAAAA